CUGUGGUUGAUGAAAAAAAAAGACGUAUUCUCACUUCAUAUAUUCACCUGCUGCAGCUGCACCAUGUCAAGAGUUUUGAUGACAGGUUCAUAUAGAAAAGAAAGAAAGAAAAAAAGUUAUGCCUCAGUUGAAAAAAAGCAACUGAGAACAGGAAAAAAUAAAGUAAUCGUGAGGAAGUUACACCUUACUGAUCACAGGAAGUAGACGCUGUAUAUUCUGUAGUGUUCUGUUGACAAGAGCAUGAGAGCAAGAAACUCAGAGAAGCAGGAUGGUUGAAUUUGGAUGGAUUCAAAUGUAUUUUUUGCUGCUGCAGAUAACAGGAGCACAAAACAGACAGUAUUUGCUUUACAUCUUUGUCAGAGUUGGAGAUGAAGUCACUUUGCCCUGUGAAAAUGUGAUUGGAAAUAGGUGUAACUGUGACGGCACUACCUGGAUGUUCAUCGGUCCAAGACACACAGCGUCAGUAGAGUUGGUUAAACUUGGAAGGACUGAAAGCGAUCCAGUAUCUAAACCAGACAGACUGAGUCUCACAGCAACCUGUUCUCUGGUUAUAAAGAAGGUCACAGAUGAGGAUGUUGGUCGUUACAGCUGCAGACAGUUUGACAGAUCAGGACGACAACGAGGACCAGACACUGAUGUUUAUCUGUCUGUUGUUACCAUGACUGAAUAUGAGGACGGUGAUAAGGUGACAUUAAACUGCUCAGUGUUGACAGAUGGACGGUGCAGAUACACAGUGAAGUGGCAGCUUAAGGAUGUGGAUCAGGAUAACAAAGACUUGACAACAUCUCGGUCUGACUGUUCAGCCAGCGUGAGCUUUACAACAUCUCAUUUUAUUCACAUGCCGGAGAACUAUGGAUCAUUGAAAUGUGAGGUGACGGAUGGUUACACUGGAAAAGUGCAGCAGUUUAUCUUCAGCCCUCAGACAUCAGGUCAGAAAACAGUUUGUCCAGGUGAGGAACCAAAAUCAGCACCAACAACUAAAUCAACAACGGCAAGAACAACAGAGAAAAGCACAGUAAGAGUAACAACAAACCACACAGGAUCUUUAAACAAAGACACAAAUGAAACAUUAGAAGACUGGUGGUGCAUCGUUGUAGCUGUGGGUUUAGUAGCACUCGUGAUCACUGUUGUUGCACUUGUGAGAUGGAGGAGAACUAAAGCUAACAAAACAUGGAUAUAUGGCAACAUCGGUCCGGCCUCCAUCCCUGCAGUGACUCAGUCUGCUCCAGAAACGGGUCAAGAGGACUCGGAUGAUGAAGAUACAGCCAUGUGAAAGCUUCUUCUCCGAUGAUCCCAGCGACUUCUACGCCACCGUCAACAUACCAAAAAAAUAGUUACAGAACACAUGAUUUAAAUUACUCUGUCAUAUUUUACAUUAUUCGACUGAUGAGCUAAAGCUGGCUAGAAUCCACCCAUUGUGUUUUAUUGUGUAAUUCUUACUGUUUAUCUUUGUCCAAAUCUUGGAGAGUGUUUCAUAUAUUAUCCUGAUGCUUGCACUCAGUUCUUUCAUAGCAUGCAGCUGUUUUUUAAUGUUGCUCUGUUACAUUUCAGUGACUUUUCAUUUCCAGGAUUUAUUGCUAUAAAAUGCUUUUUGUCCACAAGGUGGCAGAAUAGGUUAACUAACCAAACAAGUCAUAGGGCUGGUUGCUUUAAACAUAAAUAAGCAUAAUAUAUUCACAUACAUUGCUGACAUUUACUGUAAAGGAACACUAUGCAACGUUUGCUGAGCAACAGCGCCCUCUGUAGCCACUAGUGGUGAUUAACUCUGUUGGGCUCAGAGCCUGAGGAGUUAGAAGUAGUAGGUAACAGUUAAAACAUUUAGAGUUUUUACCUUCUUGUGUUGAAUCUGUUUAUCAUUUAAAUAUGUGCCACAUGUCAAUGUUGUCAUUUUAACAUUUAAGCAUCUGUUCAGCUAAAUUUUAAUAUCCUAAUAUGAAAGUGCUUCUGUCUAAACUGAAAGGUGUGAUAUGAUUUCCUUUAUUUGGACAGAGUAAGCAAUUACAUCAUUUGUAUUUUGUAUCUGUAUUAAACAUCUGAAUGAGUAAGAAGUGUAUAAAUCCAAACGUAACCUGCAGCAGCUUAUAUACACCAUCACAUGUCAAAGUGGGUGGUUGUCAGUAAUAUACUCUUUCUACACAAAGAUAGCAUAUGACAAAAGAGGAAAACUGUCACUGUGGGGAACUGAUACCGACAAGCCACAGACAUUUUGCUAAGAAGAACCAGUUCAGUGAAAACAAGAGUCAGAACAGAAAAGAAACAGAAAAAUGGUUGAAUUCAGAUGGAUUAAAAUGUUUUUAUUUCUGAUACUGGUCCUUCCACUUAGAGCACUGACUAAACAACCUCCUACCUCCUUCAUUGUCAGAGUUGGAGAUAAAGUCACUUUGCCUUGUGAAAAUGUGAGAGAUGAUCAGGAUCAAUGUGAUGGAAUCAAGUGGCUCUACAGUAAUUCAGAGCGCACAAACGGAGUAGAUCUGGUUACAUUUGGGAAGACUGGUGAAUCAGGGAUUUUCAAUUCUAAACCAGACAGUCUAAGUGUUACAAAGACCUGUUCUCUGGUUGUAAAGAAGGUCAGAGUUGAAGAUUUCGGUCAAUAUGGCUGUAGAUGGUUCAAAUCAGGACAUUUUAAAGAUGCUGUGGUUUAUCUGUCUGUUGUUAAAAUGACUGAACAGAAGAACAGAGAUCAGGUGACAUUAAACUGCUCUGUGUGGACAUAUGGACAGUGUACACACACAGUUAAAUUGCUGCCUGGGGGUAACGAUGUGGAUGAAGAUAAUGAAGACUUGGAGACAUCACAGUCUGACUGCUGGACCAGUG